rnacentral:rRNA from 1 species
UACAGAGGUCUCAAGCGUUGUUCGGAUUCAUUGGGCGUAAAGGGUGCGUAGGCGGCGUGGUAAGUCGGAUGUGAAAUCUCGGAGCUUAACUCCGAAACUGCAUUCGAUACUGCCGUGCUUGAGGACUGGAGAGGAGACUGGAAUUUACGGUGUAGCGGUGAAAUGCGUAGAUAUCGGGAGGAACACCAGUAGCGAAGGCGGCUCGCUGGGCCAUUCCUGACGCUGAGACGCGAAAGCUAGGGGAGCGAACAGG